rnacentral:misc_RNA from 1 species
CACUGUCCUCGGGACUGGAUGAUUAUCCUCGUGCAUCACAUCCAAGUGAAGAAGAACGUCACUUGGAUCUUAGGUGCUGGAUGCUUCUUGCUGCAAAUUGCAUGAACAUUCCAUCACACAGCUGUUAAAGAAAGAAUACAUAUCUGGAAAGGAUUAUGGUUUAACAGCUAAGCUACUUUCAAAUUUUGAAAUGCUCAAUCAGAUGCACCUUGAUCCUGCUUAUGGAGCAUAUUUUGAUUUUGGAAAUCAUACAGAUAAGGUUCGGUUAAGUUGGAAAGAGACAAUUGUGGAGAACAGUUAUGUAAAGCGGGAGCUUGUUCGGGAAGUAUUAGAAAGGCCAGAGUUGAGACUAAUUCCUCAUG